rnacentral:lncRNA from 1 species
ACCUCUCACAACCUAGCAUUUUGUUGAGGUUAAGACUAUAACUGGUGCAUGACAGAUUCAAGUUAGACACUGAGUGGAUUUCCCUAUGAACUGGGAGGACAGGCAUUGACACAGAGUUCUAAGGACCCCAUCAUCUAAAGAUGAUGGAGAUGCUCAGAGGACAUUUGCUGAGAGCUAUCAGGAGCUGCCCUGUGUGGAGACGGGCUGAGUGACAUGUUCUUCAGGAGGUGAGCAAGAAGGGGGCAUCAUCUCCCACCCUUCCUCCACCUGCACACACCUGGCACGUGUGCUCCUCCACCUUUCUGCAAGGGAGCCCUUGACACCCCACACUCACCUCAGUCAGAACUUCUUGGUCAGUAAGCAAUGAAAGCCACUCCAGCCGCAGGUGCAGCCGCCCGCUGGUUGUGUCAUUCAGGACAAACCACUGUGGGGUAGGGGCAGAAAGCUCAGGGAAAAGGGCCAGGGAGAUGCUACUGAUGCUCUCUGGGCAGCCCAGUCCUGAGACCUGGCAUCCUAGUAGGGACAGGGAAACCUGUCCUAGUAUGGGAAAAGGUGGACCAGCCCAGACAGGGUAUGCUCUGGGCUCAGAGGGACUGGGAGAUGUGGUUAUAGGAAGACAGAAGUGCUACACUGUGGGAUUAAAAAAAACCCAGGCCCAGCCUGCCCUCCCCUAUAAUGUGACUGUCCCCUGCUGGGGUCCUUAAUCUGUGGGUAUUUCCCAGGGAAACUUCUUCCAGCUGGGGCCCUGGAGAAUACCCUGGAGCCAUCUGUGCCUCACCCAGCUCUUGCCCUGAGGAUGGAGCCUAGCACAGAGGGGGACCACAGCAUAGGAAUAGCUGGGCUGAAGCAAGCUGCUGGAGCUGUCCACAGGAAAGGGCUACCUUGAAACUCCCCCGAGGGUUGCAAGCACCAACUGUACCUCAUCCACCACUCUGUUGGUCAUGACAUCUCCAAGGCAGAUCUGCAGGCUGGAAUAUACAGGGAGAGGGGAUUGGGUCAGCUCAGAGGAAGAAAGCAGCAGAGGGCAUGGAGGCCCACACUGGACUCUGUUUUCAGAUAUCUGAGUGCGGCCAUUAAGACAGAGGAUCUUACCCCAAGGAACCAAUGGGAGACCACCAUCAGCUCGAGUGAAGGAAAGACUAACUACCAUCAGGGCUGCUCCCACUGGGUGUGCUACUUGGGGAGGAAGGGGGCUCCCAUCCCCACAGGGGACAAGCAGAGGCUGCUGGACACAUCACCUCUGGAUUUCUCAGUGACAGUGCGACUAGCAUUUUGGGUGGGAUGAUUCUUCAUUGUGCAAAACUACCCAUGCAUUGCAGAAAUUUGGCCUCCUGGUCCUGUACCCUUUAAAUGCCAGAAGAACCACCUCUCACAGUCAUGUCAAUAACCCCAAAUGCCCCUUCAUUUCCAAAUCUACCCCAGGUGCCCUACAAGGGAAAGUAUAGUUGGCAUGUGAUGUAGUUUGGAUGUCUGUCCCCUCCAAAUCUCAUGUUGAAAUGUGAUCCCCAUACGUUAAAGGUGGGCGGGGCCUAGUGAGAGGUGUUUGGGUCAUGGGGGCAGAUCCCUCAUGAAUGGCUUGGUGCCCUCCCCACAGUAAUGAG